rnacentral:lncRNA from 1 species
UAACCUCAGAAGUCACAUUCUAUAGAAUCCUCUUAGUAAAGGCAGGUCAGCCUUUUUUAGUGGGAGAGGGGUUACAGAAGUGCAGGAGUACCUGAAGGAAUCAGUGGAGGCGUCUGGGACGCUGGCCAUCACAGGGGUCUUCGGGAAGGCAAGGGAGUUUCACUGGAAAACCAUAGCCCAAGCCAAUAUUUUGAAUAUUGUCUGUCAGCUUUUUGGUUGCUGAAUCUCAGUCCUGGGAGUCAUUUCUUCAAAGACUAAACAACAAAUUUUUUUCUUGUUUGAGGAUGUUGGGAGCCUGGUGGUUUCUGAGCCAACAAGCACAUAUACAUAUGUGUGUGAAGCCUGGGAAUGAGACGGCAAGUUUUUGGUACCUUCAGGUGCCUCCAGACCCAGAGCAAAGUCUGAAAGCAGGAAUUAAAUCGUCUACAUGAUUGAAG